rnacentral:rRNA from 1 species
GACGAACGCUGGCGGCGUGCCUAAUACAUGCAAGUCGAACGAACUCUGGUAUUGAUUGGUGCUUGCAUCAUGAUUUACAUUUGAGUGAGUGGCGAACUGGUGAGUAACACGUGGGAAACCUGCCCAGAAGCGGGGGAUAACACCUGGAAACAGAUGCUAAUACCGCAUAACAACUUGGACCGCAUGGUCCGAGUUUGAAAGAUGGCUUCGGCUAUCACUUUUGGAUGGUCCCGCGGCGUAUUAGCUAGAUGGUGGGGUAACGGCUCACCAUGGCAAUGAUACGUAGCCGACCUGAGAGGGUAAUCGGCCACAUUGGGACUGAGACACGGCCCAAACUCCUACGGGAGGCAGCAGUAGGGAAUCUUCCACAAUGGACGAAAGUCUGAUGGAGCAACGCCGCGUGAGUGAAGAAGGGUUUCGGCUCGUAAAACUCUGUUGUUAAAGAAGAACAUAUCUGAGAGUAACUGUUCAGGUAUUGACGGUAUUUAACCAGAAAGCCACGGCUAACUACGUGCCAGCAGCCGCGGUAAUACGUAGGUGGCAAGCGUUGUCCGGAUUUAUUGGGCGUAAAGCGAGCGCAGGCGGUUUUUUAAGUCUGAUGUGAAAGCCUUCGGCUCAACCGAAGAAGUGCAUCGGAAACUGGGAAACUUGAGUGCAGAAGAGGACAGUGGAACUCCAUGUGUAGCGGUGAAAUGCGUAGAUAUAUGGAAGAACACCAGUGGCGAAGGCGGCUGUCUGGUCUGUAACUGACGCUGAGGCUCGAAAGUAUGGGUAGCAAACAGGAUUAGAUACCCUGGUAGUCCAUACCGUAAACGAUGAGUGCUAAGUGUUGGAGGGUUUCCGCCCUUCAGUGCUGCAGCUAACGCAUUAAGCAUUCCGCCUGGGGAGUACGGCCGCAAGGCUGAAACUCAAAGGAAUUGACGGGGGCCCGCACAAGCGGUGGAGCAUGUGGUUUAAUUCGAAGCUACGCGAAGAACCUUACCAGGUCUUGACAUACUAUGCAAAUCUAAGAGAUUAGACGUUCCCUUCGGGGACAUGGAUACAGGUGGUGCAUGGUUGUCGUCAGCUCGUGUCGUGAGAUGUUGGGUUAAGUCCCGCAACGAGCGCAACCCUUAUUAUCAGUUGCCAGCAUUAAGUUGGGCACUCUGGUGAGACUGCCGGUGACAAACCGGAGGAAGGUGGGGAUGACGUCAAAUCAUCAUGCCCCUUAUGACCUGGGCUACACACGUGCUACAAUGGAUGGUACAACGAGUUGCGAACUCGCGAGAGUAAGCUAAUCUCUUAAAGCCAUUCUCAGUUCGGAUUGUAGGCUGCAACUCGCCUACAUGAAGUCGGAAUCGCUAGUAAUCGCGGAUCAGCGUGCCGCGGUGAAUACGUUCCCGGGCCUUGUACACACCGCCCGUCACACCAUGAGAGUUUGUAACACCCAAAGUCGGUGGGGUAACCUUUUAGGAACCAGCCGCCUAAGGUGGGACAGAUGAUUAGGGUG